rnacentral:rRNA from 1 species
UACGUAGGUGGCAAGCGUUGUCCGGAAUUAUUGGGCGUAAAGCGCGCGCAGGCGGUUUCUUAAGUCUGAUGUGAAAGCCCACGGCUUAACCGUGGAAGGUCAUUGGAAACUGGGAGACUUGAGUGCAGAAGAGAAGAGCGGAAUUCCACGUGUAGCGGUGAAAUGUGUAGAGAUCGGGAGGAACACCGGUGGCGAAGGCGGGUCUCUGGGCAUCUCCUGACGCUGAGGCGCGAAAGCGUGGGGAGCAAACGGG